AAAAUGAAAUUAACUGAUGAAUAGUUAAAUAUAUGCAAUAUUCUAUCAGCCAAAGAAAGGUUGUUGAGGGGAACUGCUUAUCGAUAGAUGGCGGUUCUCCCUUGGUCGUCUAAAAAUAAUGUCAACGUCCUUAACAGCCAUAAUCUAAAAUUAUUAGUAAUUGCUUCUAUCGUUUUAAGCACGCGAACAAAAUGGAAUAUAUGGGGUUAGUAGAGUAACGUAACAUAAAUGGAGCAACUAUUGCUUUUGGUAGAAAGAGGAAAACAGUAUUAAACGAUCAAAUACAGCUUGCCGGCGGGAUUUAAUGAAAUAGCUAUCCGUAAGUCGUUCCGACAUUACUCCCCCCGCCCUUAACGCUUUCUUCUCACGAUUUUCGUUUGGAGAUGAGCGGUGCUAUCCGUCUAAAUUUCUUAAGCGACACGACGACCUUUUGUUUCUCUUGCAAUCCUAUUAAGGGAGGAAAGUGAGUAGUUUAAUUCAAAUUGUAAUCUAGUUUAUAUGUAGGAGUGUUUUAUCUUUUAUUCAUUUGGGUAAAUCUUCAUUUUGUGUUGUCCAUAAGCAGAACUAACAAGAGUACAAAGCGACAGGGUGAAAAGCACAGAGAAAAGGCUCGCAUAAUUUAUGAAUAACGAUAGCUAAAGGGCCACCAGUUUUGCUGUCAGCACAACAGCUUUAGAUAACGUUCUCUCCAUCAUGAUAAAGAAAAUCAGAAGAAUUCUUGGCUUAGUGCUGGCAAACUUGAUUUUUUUAUUACUCUUAUUCUCUACAUCUAAUAAGCAACCUCUGACGGAAAAGAAAAUUCCUCAUUGGACAAUAAACUCUAUGCAUUCUUGCAAUAGAACAAUUACCCGUCUUCCAAAAGAUAUACAAGAUAGCGGUAAAGAGUGGACUGGGCGAAAUACUUCUUAUUUUUAUUCAGCAUACAAUGACUAUAGAACUAAUUCUGUAGUUAUCAUUUCUAUUGUUCUCACUGGAUCGUUCGACUAUUAUUGUACUCUCUGGUUUGAGCAGGAACAUAGAAUACGGGUAUCGAAAGCCAUAGUUGUCAUUAUUCCGGAUACUCACCAAAAAAGAUAUCUUGGAUCUUUCCUUAGAUGUUAUAAUCCUUCCAAAUCCAAGCCUUCAGCUGUAUCGAUAUCAUCUGCGCCAUGUAGUCGUCCACUGGUCACUUUACAGAUUGUUUAUCCUGAUAAAUUAGGGAAUAAGGAAAAGCACUGGUGCUUAUCUCCCAUACACGGUAAUCCGCUAACUGGCUAUUUAGAAGCAGUCACCCUUCAUAAAUUAAUCGGCAUAGACCGAGCAACUAUUUAUACGUCGAAUAAAACUGCAGAGAAACAUUUAAAGAAUCUAGACUGGAUUGACGUGAUACACUGGCAAAUUCCAGUUCAUGUAAACGACAUUCAUUAUUAUGGCCAAUGUGCCGCAAUCAACGACUGUUUGUAUAGGAAUAUGUUCUCCAAUCGUUAUAUGAUAUUUACUGAUUUAGAUGAAAUUUUCCUACCUCGACGAAAUAGUCCGGGGCAAAUUUUAUUUGAUAAACUUUUGUGGCAGGAUUUAGAUACCAUGCAACUAGAAAGAAAUAAUACAAUAUCGUCCUUCUACGGCAGCAGCUAUUUGUUUGGAACGCCUGAAAAUUUAACAAGUCUAGCCUCUGUAAACGUUGUUAAAAGAUAUCAGAAACCUAAUAUCUAUAGGAGAAAAUACAUUAUUAUACCAAACAGGAUUGACUAUUUGUCUGUGCACAAGACUUAUUCGUAUCCUAGCUACGAUGAGAUUUUUAUACCAAAGAGUAUAGCCAUGCUUCACCAUUAUAGGCGAUGCCCAGAACCAGAGACAAAUUGUUUAGGAGUACGUAAAAUGUAUAAUCCCAUUAUGAUUGAUGAAUUUGCCUUGAGUCUGCUAGAACCUAUUAUUUCAUUAUCUACUAAUUUAUCUAUUACUAUGCAAUUGCACUCUGAAUUUUCCUAAGUAAAUAUCGUUUACCAAUUCUACAUACAUUUUAUUUUCUCUUCUCUUAAAUUUUUGCAUUUUUUAUGUGAAUUAGUGUUAAAUUGUUAUCAGAAAAAUCUAAUAAAGAAA
rnacentral:misc_RNA from 1 species